rnacentral:lncRNA from 1 species
AAAGGUGUUUUUCCCAGGGAAAUACCUGUCCCUUGCACAUGGGGUGUGCCGGCACCUGCAAUUUCCCCAAAUGCCAGGAACUUGACUUCAUCUGCUGUGAUAAUGGCAGGCUCUGCCAAUGUCCCCCCCUACAAGAAAGGAGAAAGAUCCCAUGCAAUGACUCUUGCCUGACAAGGGAAGUGAGGCUUCUGGCAGACAUGGAGCAAGCAAUUUUCAGAUGCAUUGUGGGAGAAAGUUUGCGAUCUCCUGAAAACAUACAUUGGGACUAUUUAUAUAGCCCACAGUCUGCUCCUUGCCCAUGUCCACAGCAUUUGCAUUCUGUGAGAUACAACUAAGACCAGGAUCCAUCCAUAUAGUACAAUAAAGGCUUUGGAAUAGCAAGUCCUAACAGUCUUGCAUUGCCAUGAAAUUGGGAUGAAAUAUGUGUACUGAGGGGAGUGCCUAUCAAGAUUCUGAGGAACCAAUGUGUUUGCUUCAACAACUUUAAAGAAAGACUUUUUCUGUGACUGUAAACAAUGUCAAAGCACUUUUGCCGGGAAGCAAAACUUCAUCUUCCAGAAUACUUAAAUACACACACACCUUCCAUUACCGUGAGCUCUCCCACUCAACUCAACCAUGUGGUUACUACGGAAUUAACGGGGUCUAUUUGCAAUUGCAAAUUAACAGAUUUAAGCACUUGAGUGUUUGAAGGCUGGGAUUGAACUCAGUUUAACCCAACCAGAGACCUAUUAUAUCAGCUGUUGCAAAGGCCUUGUUUCCUUUGUCAGCACCUGGGCAACAAACCAUAAGCCUUCUCCCCAGAUCACAAAUAUUUCUAGUGAUACCUCUCACAACUCUGCCACGGGUCACAGAACAGCCAGGAGCUGGAGCUGGGCUGACAGAGACUGGCGACAGGGGGCUGGUGGUGUUCUGAGGCGUUACAUGCCUGGAAUGUAUUACAGACACAGGCAAAUAAUUCAUAUUGCCUCCCCAGGAAUCCAACUGUCUGCAAGAACAGUAACCCUGCCUUCACAAACUGGCUAGUCACUAAUCCUGCACAGAAUGGUGUUGUAAAUAAAAAACAGAGCUGGCACACACA